UAAGAGGUAAUUUGUAAUUUUGGUACUAGUUUUUAGUGUCCACUAUUAAGAGGUUAUACUUAUAACUCCUAUUAUGCACUGUACAUACAUUUUCGCCGAGUAAUUUGAAAGUGUAGGGAAGGAUCCACUAUUGAGAGGUGGCCAUUAAACUGUGGUAAUAUCUGCGAUUAUUUUGGUGGUAGUAAUAGAUUUGUUUUUUUGUGUGACGUAAACUAUUUUUUUUUAUGAACAGGUAUCUAUACCUAAGUACCUACUCGUAGAGAGCCUAUAUAAGAGCCCGUAUAGGCUCUCUACCUACUCGUAUAGGUAAUAAUAAGGUCGUUUGAUUAAUGGAUUAUUGGUAUUCAUACCUAUUUAUUUAAAUUCG